rnacentral:rRNA from 1 species
AGAGUUUGAUUAUGGCUCAGGAUGAACGCUAGCUACAGGCUUAACACAUGCAAGUCGAGGGGCAGCAUUAUCGAAGCUUGCUUUGAUAGAUGGCGACCGGCGCACGGGUGAGUAACGCGUAUCCAACCUUCCCUAUAGUAGAGAAUAGCCCGGCGAAAGUCGGAUUAAUGCUCUAUGUUGUAUUUAGAAGACAUCUGAAGAAUACCAAAGGUUUACCGCUAUAGGAUGGGGAUGCGUCUGAUUAGGUAGUAGGCGGGGUAACGGCCCACCUAGCCGACGAUCAGUAGGGGUUCUGAGAGGAAGGUCCCCCACAUUGGAACUGAGACACGGUCCAAACUCCUACGGGAGGCAGCAGUGAGGAAUAUUGGUCAAUGGACGAAAGUCUGAACCAGCCAAGUAGCCGUGCAGGAUGACGGCCCUAUGGGUUGUAAACUGCUUUUAUAUAGGGAUAAAGUCGGGGACGUGUCCCCGUUUGUAGGUACUAUAUGAAUAAGGACCGGCUAAUUCCGUGCCAGCCGCUGC